UACGUAGGGUGCGAGCGUUAAUCGGAAUUACUGGGCGUAAAGCGUGCGCAGGCGGUGAUGUAAGACAGGUGUGAAAUCCCCGGGCUUAACCUGGGAACUGCAUUUGUGACUGCAUCGCUAGAGUGCUGGAGAGGGUCGCGGAAUUCCCGAAGUAGAGGUGAAAUUCGUAGAUAUCGGGAGGAACACCGGUGGCGAAGGCGGCGACCUGGACAGUAACUGACGCUGAGACGCGAAAGCGUGGGGAGCGAACAGG
rnacentral:rRNA from 1 species